UGACCUAUAAUCCGCUGGCUGUCUCAUCCCUCAAUUUUCUUCUACCUUUACUACAACAGUACCAGGAUCUUCCAAGCCAAUCGCUCAGACCCUCUCACAUCUUUUCACUCUUUAUCACUCUCCAUAACCAAAAACCCUAGAGACCUAUUCAACCAACAAGCCAAAUUCAUGCCUCACACCAACUAGACUACCUUGAUAUGUCGUCCAAUAGUUCUCUUUUUUGUUCAAUUAUGAUUUUUGUGCUGGAUUCACAGGUAUUUGUCUCCAAUAUUGAGCUUUGAGUAGCCCUUCACUUCCACAUCCACGGAUUCACCCUCACAGGUCUCUAGUUGGGUAAAAUUGUUUCAUUUAUUAUCAAUUCUUUUUAACUUAGGGUUUUGAAUUUGCAGAUAAUUGCCCCCAAAAUUGAGCAAACCAAUAGCCUUCCUCCUCCGCAUCCAUCUUCCUCUCUCUGUCAUGCUCCAUAAACAACCCAAUUCCAUGCCAUAAGUCCCACACCAACGAGAUUGCCUUUGUAUCCAUGAAUCGUUGAAGGGAUUUUGCUUAUCUGAGGUAAUUAGCAAGGGGUUUUGUUUCUAUUUUUUUUUUUUUUUUUUCAAAUUUACUUAAAAUUUGUAGUUCCCUAAUUUAACAUAUUAUUAGGGUUUUGUAGUUUUUGUUCAAUUUAAUCCAUUUUUAUGACUAAUUUGCUAAUUAUCAGAUUUCUCAUGCUUUGUUCUAUUUAAACCCCAUUUAUUUUAUCUAAUUUGUUAUUAGUUAGUAUUUUUUGGCAUCAGUUGCAUCUGUGCUGCUGUUAUAAUGCCAUUUGGUUACAAUUUGAAGAAUCAAGCUACCAUGGUAUGAUUUCCUUUACUUCUAUAAUUUUUGUCUGGCUUAGGCAUGUUUCUGUUAUGUGUUCUAUUUGAAUUUUUUAGAAACUAAAAGCUUGUUUAAUUGUAUGUUUAUCUAAGAUGUGCUUCCCAUCUCUUCCCAUGGAGCUCUAGCCUUUGAUAAGGCCCAAGUAACGCUUUCACUGACUUGAGAUUAGGUCCUAUUAAUUUUUCAAGUACUGUAAUUUUGCCAUAAAUAAUAGUUAUGCUUAAUUUGCUCCUAUGAAUAAUUUGUGCCUUUGCUUUCAAUGGGGUAUGGUGGUUGUGUUUUUGCUGCUGGAUGAUGAUUUUGUUUUACCUUGGUGUCUUAGAAAACUUACAAAAAUUUACAAGGAUUUGAGCAGGGGUUGAGCCAUAAGUAAAGUUUAUAUGAAUUUGAGCUCUUAGAUUAUAUAAUAAUAGUCUAAAUAACUGGGGUUGCAACUCCAACCCCACAUUCUCCUCCUCUCCCUCUAAAAAUCACAUACAACCUUAUCCAUGCUUUGUUGUCCUUGCCUUGCUAUUAACGAAGAAUUCUGGAGUUCUCUAGAUGUACAAUGGGUGGUAUGGUCAAUUGUGCGGGUGUGUUGAUGAGGUGAGACACCUUAGUGGGAUAAUAUCGUGGAUAUUUUAGCUUCAAGUUUCAAUGUCUUUUUCAUAGAUUGAUUGAAUGUACAAGGGGGGAUAUAUAAUGAGGUAAAAGGUUACAUGCAACCCUACUUUGGCAAAUCCUACUAAGCCGGUAAACCCUAAAUCUGUCAUUCCUUAAAUUAAGGGAGUGCAGCAAGUUGCUAGCACACAACUAUCAACAAGUCAUCUAGAUGUCAAUCUUCCUUAAAUUAAGGGAUUAGACUUAAUAGAGAAUCCCAUGGAAAGAGGGCAGGGAACAUAAAAUCUGGCAGCAUCAGUCACCCCAUAUCGUCUAAUAUCUAUAUGCAGCAUUAGUCACCCCAUAUUGGUGACUUAUGCAGCAUCAAUCAUAUGCAGCAUCAGUCACCACAUAUCGUCUAAUAAAUUAUAAGACUUAUCUUUUAGAAUCAUCUUGCUAUCUAAAGCCUUGAGGACAUACCUUUUAGAAUCAUUAGUAGUGAUAUUAAUUUGAUCUUUAUAAAAGUUGAAUGUUUUAAAAUUACAGUGAAUAAGUAGUUUAUGGUAUGAAACUAGAUAUGUUUUUCUUGUUAAUUAAUGACCUUUUAAUGUAGAAUGUUUUCAAGCAAAAGUUAUAUAAUCGUAAGAAACAAAAGUAUUAUCACAAGGGAAGGGCAAAACCAUUUCAUCCAACAUGCAAGGAAGGCUCACAAGAAUAAGAUGAAGAAAAAGAAGGAUGGAGUUAAGGGAGAAAGUAUUCAAGAAGCACUUGAGAUAGUGAUGGUGAUCUUUCAAAUGACAAUGAUACUUGUGCUGAACUAAAGACUAUGAUAUGGUUGAUGACUUAUAUUAUGUAUCUUGUUGUUGGUUCCAAACAUGCACACGGUAUACCUGUUUUGUUACCAACUCAAUGCCUUAGAAACUUGUUAGCAUCUCAAUAUGUUUAGAGGUGUUAGGAUGCUUAUGUUAGCUUUUGGGAUAUACCCUUAGUGUAUGUAAUGGAUGUAACCUAACUUAUUGAUCAAUGAAAUGUGAUUAACCAAA